UUUAUUUAUUUAUUUAUUUUUGUCACAUUAGCCUUGCAUACAUAUUUAGCCAAUUGUUAUGGCAUUUGUUUUCCCUUGCUUUGGCAAUUAUAGUCGUUGCAUGUUUUCUUUGCUUACUAAAAAUUGUGGGUUUGAGUAUCUUGACUUUGUUGCUGUUAUGCAUUGUACACUUCAUGCUUUGCUUUUGGAAGCAACUAUGUUAAAUUGUUAUACCUUUUUUGUUUGAUGUGAUGCAGGCCAAGCGAACAAAGAAGGCUGGCAUUGU
rnacentral:misc_RNA from 1 species